rnacentral:rRNA from 1 species
UACGUAGGUGGCAAGCGUUGUCCGGAAUUACUGGGCGUAAAGCGUGCGUAGGCGGUUUGUUAAGUCUGUCGUGAAAGCCCCGGGCUCAACCUGGGAAUGGCGAUGGAUACUGGCGAGCUAGAGUACGGUAGAGGAGAGUGGAAUUCCCGGUGUAGCAGUGAAAUGCGUAGAGAUCGGGAGGAACAUCAGUUGCGAAGGCGGCUCUCUGGACCAGUACUGACGCUGAGGCACGAAAGCGUGGGGAGCAAACAGG